CCCGGCCACCGCACGGCCAAUGCCCCGGGAGCCGCCAAACACCACACUCAGUCUGGACAUGGGUGCUAUAGAAUGACAGAACUGUGUCUCAAUCCCUGAAGUUUCAGCAUGCCGAGUAGUGAAGAUGUUGGGUGGAUCACUAACUGUUACCAGUCCGGCACAUCUUCAGUUGUAUAGCCUACCUUCAUUAGGUGUUUGGCCUUUUAUCACAAGACACCCUCCUUCAAGGCAGGCACACAACAGGCUGAUCAGACCUGGAAGUGUGUCUCAUGGUUAGCCGGUCACCUUGGAGCCCAGACUUGAUCUCUGUGUUUCAGUUAUAGCCAGUGACUGCUUCUUUCUGCGGCGUUGGCAAGGGCUUUAUUGGAAUGUUUUAUUGGAACGACCACAAGAUGGACAUUGGUCAUUGGACACUGGAAAUAUAGUCAUCUGUAGGCCUGAACAGAGCUAUUAUGAGGCUGGAGAUGAACUGAAGGCCUGGGGGAACAGAAUGAGAGAAAUGAGUGGAGGAAGGUGAAGAGACGGAGACAUAUGAAGGGUGAAGGAGAGGACGGGACAUUUCAGUAUAAAUA